CAGUCCCACGGGAAUACAGAGGGUGCGAGCGUUAAUCGGAUUUACUGGGCGUAAAGCGUGCGUAGGCGGCUUCUUAAGUCGGAUGUGAAAUCCCUGAGCUUAACUUAGGAAUUGCAUUCGAUACUGGGAAGCUAGAGUAUGGGAGAGGAUGGUAGAAUUCCAGGUGUAGCGGUGAAAUGCGUAGAGAUCUGGAGGAAUACCGAUGGCGAAGGCAGCCAUCUGGCCUAAUACUGACGCUGAGGUACGAAAGCAUGGGGAGCAAACAGGAUUAGAUACCCGCGUAGUCCCUGUCUCUUAUACA
rnacentral:rRNA from 1 species